CUCCUGAUAGCUCAGUUGGUAGAGCGUUGGACUGUAAUUGAAAUGAAUAUUCCUAUGGAGAUCCACAGGUCGUGUGUUCGACUCACACUCAGGAGA
rnacentral:tRNA from 1 species